UGUGAGGCUUUUGGACAUCCAAACUGUGUCUCUAUCUCUGGGCAAGGUGUGCUUAGCUCAUGUUAUCUCUUCUUGACUUGACUUAUCCGAUGCUGUGUUGUUUGCUUUGGUGCCAAAAUGCUGAAUACAAUAAAAUCUAAACAAGUGUCUCUCAAUCAUACACUCCAAUCAAUCACCGUUAGGCGUUAGUUACCCUCUUUCUACGUCGCUUCCUUUAUCCUUUAAAUUAAUACCCCCAAAAAUCGAUUGAACAAUAUAUAUCACCACUUCUCUCUCUCUCUCUCUCUCUCUCUCUCUCUCUCUCUCUCUCAUAUUUUUUGGUUCUUAUUAUUGGGCUUGGAGUUACUACAAUGGUACCAGUAUCAACAAAAACAAACGGGUCGGAUUCGGGUAGGAAAGUAGUAGAUCCAGUCGGCCGUCAAAGCAGCUUAACAGCAAAAGCAAGUCCGAGCCAAAAUGGCAACGACGAGACUGACGAGCAAACUUCCAUUGCAAUGGGGGUACACAAUGGUGCCUCAAAUGUAGCUAUUAAUGGCACAACUUCUUCUCCCAGGGCUACUAAAGUUGGAAAAGUCUCGGUUUUGCCCCUUGUUUUUCUUAUCUUCUAUGAGGUAUCGGGAGGACCAUUCGGGGUUGAGGAUACUGUACACGCAGCUGGCCCCCUUCUGGCUCUAAUUGGUUUUUUGGUAUUUCCAUUUAUAUGGAGUGUACCUGAAGCCCUAAUAACUGCAGAAAUGGGCACCAUGUUCCCAGAAGACAGUGGCUAUGUGAUAUGGGUUUCAUCCGCAUUGGGUGAGUAUUGGGGGUUUCAACAAGGUUGGAUGAAAUGGCUAAGCGGGGUCAUCGAUAAUGCUCUAUACCCGGUUAUGUUCCUUGAUUAUUUAGAUUCAGCAAUCCCAGCAUUAUCUGGUGGUUUGCCCAGAGUCGCAGCAACGCUAGGUUUGACUGCUAUGCUCACUUACAUGAAUUAUAGGGGUUUAACCAUUGUAGGAUGGGCUGCUGUUCUGUUGGGGGUUCUCUCACUCCUUCCUUUCGGUGUUAUGGGACUUGUCGCAAUACCGAAGUUAAGGCCUAAAAGAUGGUUAGUGGUAGAUUUACACAACGUUGACUGGAAUUUGUUCCUAAACACACUAUUCUGGAACUUAAAUUACUGGGAUUCAAUAAGUACGUUAACGGGAGAGAUGGAUAAUCCGAAGAAGACUCUGCCAAAGGCUCUAUUCUAUGCUUUGAUUGUAGUUGUAAGUGGGUAUUUCUUUCCUUUACUAAUUGGUACAGGAGCUAUACCGCUCAAUCGAGACCGAUGGACCGAUGGGUAUUUCUCUGAUGUCGCCAAGUUGGUGGGUGGAGUGUGGUUGAGGGUUUGGGUCCAAGUGGCUGCUGCAAUGUCAACUAUAGGAAUGUUCAUGGCUGAAAUGAGCGGUGAUUCUUUUCAACUUCUUGGUAUGGCGGAAAGAGGGAUGCUUCCGGCGUUUUUCGCCAAAAGAUCUCGCUAUGGAACUCCUCUUGUUGGUAUUUUAUUUUCGGCUUCUGGUGUUAUUUUGCUUUCAUGGCUGAGCUUUGAACAGAUAGUGGCCGCGGAAAACUUUUUGUAUUGUUUCGGAAUGAUUUUGGAGUUCAUAUCCUUCAUAAGGUUGAGAACAAAAUACCCAGCUGCAUAUCGGCCUUUUAAGAUACCUGUUGGAACAGUCGGAUCAAUUCUACUAUGUAUUCCUCCGACCAUAUUGAUCGGCGCUGUGCUGGUUCUUUCUUCUCUCAAAGUGGCAGUUAUAAGCCUCGUUGCUGUUGUAAUUGGACUAGUGAUGCAGCCUUGUCUCAAGCAUGUUGAGAAAAAGAAAUGGCUCAAGUUCUCUGAGAAUUCUGAUCUCCCUGAUCCACUAUGUGGUGCUGCUCAUGAGAAUACUGAAACAUUGAUUCAGUAACUAACCAUUGUCGAAUGGACGACAAAAGAAAUGCUAUUUGCUCAUCAAGCUCUCAAAAGGCUCCAAUGGACAACAAAUAUUCUCUGACCGGUAUCUCAUUAAGGUAUUUGCAUUGUUCAGAUGUUCACGAGUAGGUCAUUAACAGAGGGCGGCAGAAGGGAAUAGUGAUUGAGUUCUAAUUGACACUGUAGAAUGCAUGCAUGUUGAAGCUUAGACUGCAGGUGAUCCCCAAUGAAAUGACCCAAGUUCAAGUCUAUUUAUCUAACCUGCCGAAAAAAUUGUAAUGAAGUUUGUUGAAUC